rnacentral:rRNA from 1 species
CCUCUAGGACGAGGAGAUAUUUUGAUUUAUGUGGAGUUGGUUGUAGCUGGCCUCGGAUUUAAUUUUUCCCGGGCAUGUGCACACCUUCUCUUUCAUCCACACACACCUGUGAACCUGUGAAACAGUAUUUUGGGGACUUUAUUGAACCCACUUCUGUCUACUUAAUUAAUAUAAACUCAAUUUAAUUUAAAACGAAGGUAAGGGAUGUAACGCAUCUAAUACUAAUUUUCAACAACGGAUCUCUUGGCUCUCGCAUCGAUAAAAAACCCAGCGAAAUGCAAUAAGUAAUGUGAAUUGCAAAAUUCAUUGAAUCAUCAAAUCUUUGAACGCACCUUGCGCUCCUUGGUAUUCCUUGAAGCAUGCCUGUUUGAGUAUCAUGAAAUCUUCAAAGUAAAUCUUUUGUUAAUUCAACUGAUUUCUACUUUGGUAUUGAAGGUUAUUGCAGUUUCACACCUGCUCCUCUUUGUGUAUAACCUGGAUCUCAGUGUUAUGCUUGGUUCCACUCAGCGUGAUAAGUUAUCUAUCGCUAAGGACACUGUAAAAAGGUGGCCAAGGUAAAUGCAAAUGAACCGCUUCUAAUAUUCCAUUGACUUGAACAAUAAUAAAAAUUUAAUUUUAAUGAUCUGAUCUCAAAUCAGGUAGGACUACCCGCUGAACUUAAGCAUAUCAUUAAGCGGAGAAA